GUUCUUGGUCAUUUAGAGGAAGUAAAAGUCGUAACAAGGUCUCCGUUGGUGAACCAGCGGAGGGAUCAUUAUCGAGUUAUUCAACUCCCAAACCCUAUGUGAACUUACCACUUGUUGCUUCGGCGCGCGCUUCGGCGCCGCCGAGGACACUUAAACUCUUUGUUUUUAUAAGCAUUUCUGAGUGGCCGAAAGGCAAAAAUACAAAUGAAUCAAAACUUUCAACAACGGAUCUCUUGGUUCCGGCAUCGAUGAAGAACGCAGCGAAAUGCGAUAAGUAAUGUGAAUUGCAGAAUUCAGUGAAUCAUCGAAUCUCUGAACGCACAUUGCGCCCGCCAGCAUUCUGGCGGGCAUGCCUGUUCGAGCGUCAUUUCAACCCUCGAGCCCGACUCUUUUGAGGACGGCUCGGCGUUGGGGGACGGCAGACUCCCCCCGGCAUCUCGCCGGGGACGCCGCCCCCGAAAUCUAGUGGCGGCCCUCCGAGGCGACCUCUGCGUAGUAACUUGUUCUCGCACCGGAAAGCUCAGAGCGGCCACGCCGUAAAACCCCAACUUUUUUCAGGUUGACCUCGAAUCAGGU
rnacentral:rRNA from 1 species